rnacentral:rRNA from 1 species
UCCGUAGGCGGCUAUGUGUGUCGGGUGUGAAAUCCUGCAGCUCAACUGCAGAACUGCGCUCGAAACUACAUGGCUAGAGUAUUGGAGAGGUGAGUGGAAUUCCAGGUGUAGCGGUGAAAUGCGUAGAUAUCUGGAGGAACACCAACGGCGAAGGCAGCUCACUGGACAAUUACUGACGCUGAGGGACGAAAGCGUGGGGAGCGAAAG